AAUGAACGCUGGCGGCAGGCCUAAAACAUGCAAGUCGAACGCCCUAGCAAUAGGGAGUGGCGCACGGGUGAGUAACAUGUGGGAAUAUGCCUUUUGGUACGGAACAACGUUUGGAAACGAACGCUAAUACCGUAUGGUCCCUCCGGGGUAAAGAUUUAUCGCCAAAAGAUUAGCCCGCACUAGAUUAGCUAGUUGGUAAGGUAAUGGCUUACCAAAGCGACGAUCUAUAGCUGUUCUGAGAGGAAGAUCAGCCACACUGGGACUGAGACACGGCCCAGACUCCUACGGGAGGCAGCGGUUAGGAAUAUUGGACAAUGGGCGCAAGCCUGAUCCAGCCAUGCCGCGUGAGUGAUGAAGGCCUUCGGGUUGUAAAGCUCUUUAGCCGACGAAUAUAAUGACUGUAGUCGGAGAAGAAGCCCCGGCUAACUUCGUGCCAGCCGCCGCGGUAAAAC
rnacentral:rRNA from 1 species